AGCAGCCGCGGUAAUUCCAGCUCCAAUAGCGUAUAUUAAAGUUGUUGCGGUUAAAAAGCUCGUAGUUGAAUUUCGGGAUCAAUAUGUCUGUCGUGCCUUUGGUACGUACGGGUAUAAUUGGUUUCUACCUUCUGAUGAACCUUGAUGCCAUUAAUUUGGUGUCUUGGGGACUCAGGACUGUUACCUUGAAAAAAUUAGAGUGUUUAAAGCAGGCAUACGCUUGAAUACAUUAGCAUGGAAUAAUGAAAUAGGACGUUCGAUUCUAUUUUGUUGGUUUCUAGGAUCGACGUAAUGAUUAAUAGGGAUAGUUGGGGGCAUUAGUAUUCAAUUGUCAGAGGUGAAAUUCUUGGAUUUAUUGAAGACUAACUACUGCGAAAGCAUUUGCCAAGGAUGUUUUCAUUAAUCAAGAACGAAAGUUAGGGGAUCGAAGACGAUCAGAUACCGUCGUAG
rnacentral:rRNA from 1 species